rnacentral:rRNA from 1 species
UACGUAGGGUGCAAGCGUUAAUCGGAAUUACUGGGCGUAAAGCGUGCGCAGGCGGUCUUGCAAGACAGAUGUGAAAUCCCUGGGCUUAACCUGGGAACUGCAUUUGUGACUGCAAGGCUGGAGUGCGGCAGAGGGGGAUGGAAUUCCGCGUGUAGCAGUGAAAUGCGUAGAUAUGCGGAGGAACACCGAUGGCGAAGGCAAUCCCCUGGGCCUGCACUGACGCUCAUGCACGAAAGCGUGGGGAGCAAACAGG